rnacentral:rRNA from 1 species
AUGCUAGCGGCGCGCCUAACACAUGCAAGUCGAGCGGUAGUAUUUUCUAGCUUGCUAGAGAAUAUGAGAGCGGCGAACGGGUGAGUAACACGUUGAUAUCUGCCCAUAGGUCAGGGAUAGCCCAGGGAAACCUGGAUUAAUACCGGAUAGUCUCUUCGGAGUAAAAAUUUAUUGCCUAUGGAGGAGUCUGCGGUCUAUCAGCUAGUUGGUGAGGUAAUAGCUCACCAAGGCUAUGACGGAUACCUGGUCUGAGAGGAUGAUCAGGCACAAUGGAACUGAGACACGGUCCAUACUCCUACGGGAGGCAGCAGUGAGGAAUCUUCCACAAUGGACGAAAGUCUGAUGGAGCGACGCCGCGUGAAGGAUGACGGUCUAACGAUUGUAAACUUCUUUUCUGAGGGAGCAUAAUGAGAGUACCUCAGGAAUAAGGGACGGCUAAAUAUGUGCCAGCAGCCGCGGUAAUACAUAUGUCCCAAGCAUUGCCCGGAAUUACUGGGUGUAAAGGGUUCGUAGGCGGCUUUGUAAGUUGGAUGUGAAAGACCGGAGCUCAACUCCGUGUUGGUAUUCAAAACUGCAGAGCUAGAAUUAGGGAGAGGUAAGCGGAAUUCUGAGUGUAGGGGUGCAAUCCGUAGAUACUCAGAGGAACACCAAAAGCGAAGGCAGCUUACUGGAACUAUAUUGACGCUGAGGAACGAAAGCGUGGGUAGCGAAAAGGAUUAGAUACCCUUGUAGUCCACGCCCUAAACGAUGAU